rnacentral:rRNA from 1 species
UGGGGAAUAUUGGACAAUGGGCGAAAGCCUGAUCCAGCCAUGCCGCGUGUGUGAAGAAGGCCUUUUGGUUGUAAAGCACUUUAUGCGAGGAGGAGGCUACUUGGAUUAAUACUCUAGGAUAGUGGACGUUACUCGCAGAAUAAGCACCGGCUAACUCUGUGCCAGCAGCCGCGGUAAUACAGAGGGUGCGAGCGUUAAUCGGAUUUACUGGGCGUAAAGCGUGCGUAGGCUGCUUCUUAAGUCGGAUGUGAAAUCCCUGAGCUUAACUUAGGAAUGGCAUUCGAUACUGGGAAGCUAGAGUAUGGGAGAGGAUGGUAGAAUUCCAGGUGUAGCGGUGAAAUGCGUAGAGAUCUGGAGAAAUACCGAUGGCGAAGGCAGCCAUCUGGCCUAAUACUGACGCUGAGGUACGAAAGCAUGGGGAGCAAACAGG